rnacentral:lncRNA from 1 species
UCGGGGAGCUCAGAUUUUAAGACAGUAGCUUGCUGAUGCUCCCAGCUGAAUAAAGCCCUUCCUUCUACAACUCGGUGUCUGAGGGGUUUUGUCUGCAGCUCGUCCUGCUACAAUGGUGGUUCCUUUAUAGAGUCCAUCUGCUCACUACAUGUGAUUCAAGCCUAGCUCGAAAGAUAGGCAAGUGAUGACUUAGGACACUGUCAAUGGCAUGAGACUUCUUUCCAAGCUAUCAGAAGACCGCCUUCUUUUCCCACUGCUACUGCCAGGAUAUUCAUGAUUCCCUACCUUGAAUCAAUGCCGCCAUCUUCCUUUUAACUCAGGGACUAUGAGAUACACAGGUCUUCAAUGCCAGUCACCUCAUGGACUCACCACCUAGUUUAUCAAGGAGAAGUUGAUGCUGGGAGCAACUACAAAAAUGAAGCUACUCUGAUUUAGAUCAGACAUCUGGCACGGUGCCCUUGUGCUAAAAUUAGAGUGCUGACAAGCCUAUGGUUCUUUCUGGAGCCUUCAGGGAAGAAUUGGUUACCUUGCGUUUUCCAGCUUUUGAGAGCACCUGCAUCCCUUGGGUCAUGCCCUUUUCCUCCAUUUUCAAAGUCCAAAACAGGAUGUCAAGUCCUUCUUUCUUUGCAUCUCUUUGAACAACUGUAGCCAAAAAGAUUCUCCAUUCUAAGGACUCCUGUGAUUUGAUUGGGAGCCUCUACAUCAUUCAGGAGAAUCCUCUGACCUCAAGUUCUGUAACCUGAAUCACAUCAUAAGGUAAUCUAUUCAUAGGUUCUGGGGAUUCGCGUGUGGGAAUCUUGGCAGGCAAUGAUUUUCUGCAUUCCAUAAUGAUACGGAAGAGCUAGGCUCCUGGCUAAACCCCACCUUUAAGCCUCGGAUGGUGACCAUAAGUGAAAACAUCUGACCCCAUUUUUCUGCCCAAAUGUUGCCUUUUUGGCCCAGUCUGCCCCUAUUCUGUGCCCACAACAGACUUCAGCUGGCAGAGCAACACAAGCAGCUGAAUAUCAAGAGGUGAAGAAGCAACUGGGCAUCUGAGACUAUGGAUAGAUGCGACUUAACUUCAGACGGCACAACUUUGGAGAGGAGCCCAGAUGGAGACGACCAGGCUUCAAGGAAAGAUCACCUUCUUCUUGCACCCCCCUUUCAGCUCCCCUUCUGCUGAGAGCUACUUCCACUGCCUAAUAAAAUCCUCUGCAUCAUCACCUUUCAAACCAUUCGUGCGACCUGAUUCUUCCUGGAUGCCGAACAAGAACCUGGGAACCAAGAGGGCAGAGUAUUAGGCUGUCACCCUGACUCUCCACUAAGCUGGUUAACACUUAGCUGCCAUGGACAGCAACUCCUAAAAGAGCAUUAAUUUUAUCACACCCCUAGACGCUGCCAGGGGGCUGGAGCCCAAAAGCAUUUGCCCCAGCUCCAACACCCACUUGCCUGUGUGCUCCCUCCCGUGAGGGGUUGAGCCCAGUGGGUUUGAGUGAGUGAAGUUCAUCCCUGUUGGCAGCAAAGUGGCAGGCUGAACCCAGAGCCAGUGCACUCUAGUUCCCAUCUGCAAAAGGGUCAAAGGAACUCUCCUGUCUCAACAACAUAUUACUGACUAACACAAGCAUCUUAUGCCUGGUAGCAUCAAAUUAAGCAAAGGGUAGCCCGAAUGCCAUGUCUUCACAUUUUAUUCCACUUGGAUCUCCUGUAGAAUGGCUGUUUACCAUGGAAGGGCUGAUUCCAAUUCUCACGUUAAUCACUUACAAGGCAGAAACCAGCUAGUCUAGACUGGUAAAGGGCUUUCCAGUUCAUUCAUCAGCCUCCUCUGAUUCUCUCAGGGCUCAUUCAGAUGUUCCCAAUCCUUUCACAAGAUUACAAUUCAACACAUAUGGAAGCACAAAAAAAAAUGCUGAUUUCCCCACAUAAAUAAUAAUUAAUUACUAAUGAAGAUAAUGGUGACAGACUAUGGGACUUAAGAAAAAACCUACGAGGAUGUAUCACAAGACAAAUCCUUCUAAAAAUUAAACUAUUUGCAGACAAUCAGAAAGUCAAAACUAACAAUCUCUUAAACAUUUCUCAGAUAUGGCUGUAAUAACAUAGCAUUCCUAUAAAAAUGAACUUUUAGGUUAAAUAUAUCUUUACACAUACAUGCACUUGCACCCACAUGUACACACAAUCUAUUUUUGGAUCUACUGAAUAAAGCAUCAUUAUUUAAAGUGAAGCAAUAAAAGUUUCAACGUCUUUUUUUCUAAGUAUUAGCCUUGAAGUUAUUCACCCUAACCAAA